AUUGAACGCUGGCGGCGUGCCUAACACAUGCAAGUCGAGCGGUAACAGGUGUAGCAAUACAUGCUGACGAGCGGCGAACGGGUGAGUAAUGCUUCGGAAUCUGCCCAUGUAGUGGGGAAUAACCAGCCGAAAGGUUGGCUAAUACCGCAUACGACCCUUGCCACAAGGCAAAGGUGAAAGCAGGGGAUCGCAAGACCUUGCGCUAUUGGAUGAGCCGAAGUCGGAUUAGCUAGUUGGUAGGGUAACGGCCUACCAAGGCGACGAUCCGUAGCUGGUCUGAGAGGACGACCAGCCACACUGGGACUGAGACACGGCCCAGACUCCUACGGGAGGCAGCAGUGGGGAAUAUUGGACAAUGGGGCAACCUGAU
rnacentral:rRNA from 1 species